UGUCUACGACCAUACCACAGGGAAAACACCG
rnacentral:rRNA from 1 species